UCUUGCGCAAUGGGCGAAAACCUGACGCAGCAACGCCGCGUGAGGGAAGAAGGCCUUCGGGUUGUAAACCUCUUUCAGGAGGGACGAAGCCACCAGGGUUAAUAGCCUAUGGGGUGACGGUACCUUCAGAAGAAGCCCCGGCUAACUACGUGCCAGCAGCCGCGGUAAUACGUAGGGGGCAAGCGUUGUCCGGAAUCAUUGGGCGUAAAGUGCGUGUAGGCGGCUUGGUAAGUCUGGCGUGAAAUCUUGGGGCUCAACCCCAAGCCUGCGUUGGAUACUGCCUCGCUCGAGUCCGGGAGAGGAAAGCGGAAUUCCCAGUGUAGCGGUGAAAUGCGCAGAUAUUGGGAAGAACACCGGUGGCGAAGGCGGCUUUCUGGAACGGUACUGACGCUGAGACGCGAA
rnacentral:rRNA from 1 species